GCGGCCUAUCAGCUUGUUGGUGAGGUAAUGGCUCACCAAGGCGACGACGGGUAGCCGGCCUGAGAGGGCGACCGGCCACACUGGGACUGAGACACGGCCCAGACUCCUACGGGAGGCAGCAGUGGGGAAUAUUGGGCAAUGGAGGAAACUCUGACCCAGCGACGCCGCGUGAGGGAUGAAGGCCUUCGGGUUGUAAACCUCUUUCAGUAGGGAAGAAGCGAAAGUGACGGUACCUACAGAAGAAGCACCGGCUAACUAUGUGCCAGCAGCCGCGGUAAUACAUAGGGUGCAAGCGUUGUCCGGAAUUAUUGGGCGUAAAGAGUUCGUAGGUGGUUCGUUACGUCGGAUGUGAAAAUCUGGGGCUCAACCCCAGACCUGCAUUCGAUACGGGCGAGCUAGAGUUUGGUAGGGGAGACUGGAAUUCCU
rnacentral:rRNA from 1 species